AUUGAACGCUGGCGGCAGGCCUAACACAUGCAAGUCGAGCGAGCGGCGGACGGGUGAGUAAUGUAUGGGGACUGCCCGAUAGAGGGGGAUAACUACUGGAAAAGGUAGCUAAUACCGCAUACACUCGGUAAACCAAUAUGGGAUUAGCUAGAAGGUGAGGUAAUGGCUCACCUAGGCGACGAUCCCUAGCUGGUCUGAGAGGAUGAUCAGCCACACUGGGACUGAGACACGGCCCAGACUCCUACGGAGGCAGCAGUGGGGAAUAUUGCACAAUGGGCGCAAGCCUGAUGCAGCCAUGCCGCGUGUAUGAAGAAGGCCCUAGGGUUGUAAAGUACUUUCAGUCGGGAGGCGUUACCGACAGAAGAAGCACCGGCUAACUCCGUGCCAGCAGCCGCGGUAAUAC
rnacentral:rRNA from 1 species